GGCCAGACUCCUACGGGAGGCAGCAGUGGGGGAUAUUGCACAAUGGGGGAAACCCUGAUGCAGCGACGCCGCGUGUGGGAAGGCGGUCCUCUGGAUUGUAAACCACUGUCCCCAGGGACGAAGAUGACGGUACCUGGGGAGGAAGCUCCGGCUAACUACGUGCCAGCAGCCGCGGUAAUACGUAGGGGGCAAGCGUUAUCCGGAUUUACUGGGUGUAAAGGGGGCGCAGACGGCGAUGCAAGCCAGGAGUGAAAGCCCGGGGCCCAACCCCGGGACUGCUCUUGGAACUGCGUGGCUGGAGUGCAGGAGGGGCAGGCGGAAUUCCUGGUGUAGCGGUGAAAUGCGUAGAUAUUAGGAGGAACACCAGUGGCGAAGGCGGCCUACUGGACGGUGACUGACGCUGAGGCUCGAAAGCGUGGGGAGCAAACAGGAUUAGAUACCCUCGUA
rnacentral:rRNA from 1 species